UCCACGCCGUAAACGAUGUCAACUAGACGUUGGGCUCCUUAGAGGGCUUAGUGUCGAAGCUAACGCGAUAAGUUGACCGCCUGGGGAGUACGGUCGCAAGAUUAAAACUCAAAGGAAUUGACGGGGGCCCGCACAAGCGGUGGAGCAUGUGGUUUAAUUCGAUGCAACGCGAAGAACCUUACCAUCCCUUGACAUCCAGAGAAUCUGUUAGAAAUAGUAGAGUGCCUUCGGGA
rnacentral:rRNA from 1 species